AUUAAAAUAUAUGUUUUAAAUUUGGCUGACAGUGGUGUGCAGAGGGAAGUGAAAAGUCCUAGUGGUAUGUAGAGGGAAGUGAAAAGUCCUAGUGGUGUGUAGAGGUAAGUGAAAAGUCCCUUCUUCUUUCUUUUUCUCUCUCAUACUUCCUUUCCUUCUUCUUUAUUUUUCUCUCUCACACGACACCUCCUUCCCUUCUUCUUUCUUCUUCUCUCUUCUCUCUCAAACUUGCUUUCCUUUCUUCUUUCCCCACCUACCAAUAACAAGAAUCACACACUGCAAAGACCUCACGGUACUGCUGUCAUUGUUUGCAGCUUCUUCUUCCACCAUUCACGACUCUACCCGCGGCCAACGGUGAAGCCAACCAGCAGGAGGUGAUCCCGACGGUGAAGCCAACCAGUAGUAGCAGGAUCAUCCCGUUCGCAGAGCUUGAGAGGCUGAACCACACCGUGAGCGACGACGAGAGACAGAUCUGG
rnacentral:lncRNA from 1 species